rnacentral:rRNA from 1 species
GACGAACGCUGGCGGCGUGCUUAACACAUGCGAGUCGAACGGAAAGGCCCUGCUUUUGUGGGGUGCUCGAGUGGCGAACGGGUGAGUAACACGUGAGUAACCUGCCCUUGACUUUGGGAUAACUUCAGGAAACUGGGGCUAAUACCGGAUAGGAUCUCCUGCUGCAUGGUGGGGGUUGGAAAGUUUCGGCGGUUGUGGAUGGACUCGCGGCUUAUCAGCUUGUUGGUGGGGUAGUGGCUUACCAAGGCUUUGACGGGUAGCCGGCCUGAGAGGGUGACCGGCGACAUUGGGACUGCGAGACGGCGCAGACUGGUACGGGAGGCAGCAGUGGGGAAUAUUGCAGAAUGGGCGGAAGCCUGAUGCAGCAACGCCGCGUGCGGGAUGACGGGCUUCGGGUUGUAAACAGAUUUCGCAUGUGACGAAGCGGGAGUGACGGUAAUGGGUAAAGAAGCAACGGCUAACUACGUG